GAAUUUCCAACUGAAUACGAAAUGGUUCCAGAAAUGUCUUCAAGCGACUUUUGCCAAAUCAUACAACCCAAUACACAUUACGAAGAUCCCAUGAGGAAAUUCGAACCCCUUUAUGGACCUGCGUACCCUGGUGUAUUUCAUCCCGAUUACUUCCCUCAUUUUCCUUAUCAUUCAUCAACUCAGUCAUUUGCAGACGAAAGCCUUCAAUGUAAAGUAGAAUCGGAGAAAUUUUACCCGUACAAAAACAUGGACCAUCUUUCGUCUUGUAUGAAAUCAUCUAGUCCUAAACUAACGCAUAUAGAUGCUUCAACUGAAGGCAAAACGAAUGUUUCGCCUCGUUUUGAAUAUAGAUCUGCAGGCUCGUGCUCACGUAGCAGCAGCCGUGAAGCUGUAUCCGGUUAUCCAUACAGUAACCAAUCAGAAUCCUCCACGUCAGAAAUUGACGUUGGUAACGAAGAUAUCGAAAAACGUUCGUCUUUUCAACAAAAUCAUGAUACCGGUCAAAAUCAAAUCAAAGAGGAACAAUCACCGAAAGCUUUCCCGGCAACUGACAAUCAUACACAGUCACGUGGCGUUCAACAAUCUGUGAUCAUGCGUCAUAGGCCGAAUAUCGAGGCCGAUGUUAUUCAAGACUCGCAACAAAAAUCCAUUCACAGCCAGGUCAAAUUCCCAAAUCCCGAACUUGGACCAGAGCACCACUUUCGGAGUCCAUUAUUUAACGAAAAUAACAUUGGAAUGGAUGUUCAUACUAUUCAAGAUAGAAACAUUAAUGCUCAAGAUAUCUAUUCGCAAUGUAUACGUGCUUCAUGUGCAUAUAAUUCAUACAAUAGUCCCACAGAGUAUUGUCAAAAUCCGAUCCCGACCCAAAAACAUUUUCCCCCUGUUCCGCAGCCGGGCUAUGCUAGUGUCAUUGUGGACACUCAACAAUAUCAUUUGGCAAACGGUUAUGUACAUUAAUGUAGUAUUGUUGUGUUUUUACCGUUUUCCCCUUUUAAUUUGUCCGUUUUGUAAUUCAAAUGAUUAAUAUAAGAAACACCUAAUUAUUUCAACCCCAAGAAAUAUUUUUUAUUUCUUUUUUCCAAUCAUUCAAGAUUUGUCUAAUACAUUCAGCAAAACACCUGAACAGAGGGAAAGCACGUUUGAAAAUAUCCAAGUUUGAAAGUUUGACAUGUAGCCUUUUGUACAAUUUUAAACAAGAAAAUAUCAAGAAUCAUUUAUUCAGUACUGUACUUAAGAAAUUGCAUGGACAUAUCAAGAUGAUACAUUUACUAAAUACAUUCAUAUAUAAUCGGAAAUACUCUUCUUAAUCAGAUGGACCGGUAUUGUCAACACCAUCCGUUUACUGAUAAAAUAAGUAACGGGUUUUAUAUUGGAAAGUUAACAUGCAGAAAAAAAUCUUAUUUUCAAAUUUGUUUUGAUUUGGUCUCCUUGCCAAUCAAUUGGGGAAAGUAUAAUUAUCUUUGUAAAAGAUGCAUAUAGUUAGACUAGCUUAUGAUAAUGUAAUUAUAUUACAUUCAAAUUUUAGAAACAAAAAUCCAUCAUGAUUGUAUGGUGAAAUAUUUUAUUAUGAAAUAUCUUUUUACUUGAAAUGAGCAUAUGUAUUUUCUUCAAUUCAAAUUUUACGACAAAUUUGUACAUGAGAAUAUGUUUAUGAAAUACACGGCAUGUAUUUUACUUUGUGAACAUUAUAUAAGGGAACAUUUUCGAACUUAGUUUUUUUUCUCAGUAAGAUAAUUUAUGAUACUAGACCUAGGAUUUUAGACAGGGUUUGAUUCUGUUGUUCUGUUGCCAUAAUAAAAAAUACUGAUGUUG
rnacentral:misc_RNA from 1 species